UCUCGAUAGCAUCAAAGUUAACUAAAAUUUGUAUGGAGUAGUAGUGGUGCCUACGUUUGCCGCUAGGGGCGCUGUUCCAACUCCAUACAUAUUUCAGUUAACUUUUACGCUAUCGA
rnacentral:pre_miRNA from 9 species